CGAGCGGCGGCGAGCGGCGGCGAGCGGCGGCGAGCGGCGGCGAGCGAGCAGUCAGCCAAAGGGCGGGGCCCAGGAGCCUUCAGGGGAGGAGGCAGCCGUAGACUGGACGCGAGAUCCGGGAACCCAGGUCUCGCCGUAUCGGAUCUCCUCCUCAGAAGUUCUUUCCGGCCCCAGCAAUUGGCGCCUGUGCGACCCUGGUCCGGCCUUAGCCUUGUGCGGUGCUUGGUGGUUCCCGAGGUAGCAAGCCCGGACCCAGCUUGACCACAACCCUUCUCCUCCGACCACGGCAGAAAGACUCUGCGUCUGAUCCCAUGGCUCUUCCUUGUUUAACGUUCCCCCGAAGGACUAAUUUAUCAAUUUCUUGAGCUCCAUGAGUGCAGUUUUGUAGACAGAUUGAGACAUCCCAUUUGGGACGAGUGCAGUACCCAUUCUAACAUUUAUUGCCUCAAAAUUAACUAUCAUCCAGGUUAUGGUUUGAAUUAGCAAAACCCCAGACAGCUGGACCAUGACCCUGUGUUUUGCACUGUUAGAAAGUAAAAAACUUAGAUAAGUGCUGGUGAGGAUGUGGAGAAAAGGGAAACCUUGUGCACUGCUGGUGGGGAUGUAAACUGGGUUCAGCUACUAUGGAAAACAUUAUGGAGGUUUCUCAAGAAAGUCAAAAUAGAGCUGCCACAUGAUCCAGCAAUCCCACUUCGGGUAUACAUCCGAAGGAAAUAAAUCAUCAUCUGGAAAAGACAUCUGUACUCCCAUGUUCAUUGCAGCAUUAUACACAGUAGCCAAGGUAUGGAAAUAACCUAAAUGUCCAACAGAUGAAUGGAUCAAGAAUACACACAGCACACACACGUACAUACACAUACACACGCUGGAAUGUUAUUCAGCCUUUAAAAAGAAGGAAAUCCUGUUAUUUUUGACAUGGAUCAACCUGAAGAGCAUUAUACUAAGUAAAAUAAACCAGAGAAAGACAAA